GGGUUGUGAGGUUAAGCGACUAAGCGUACACGGUGGAUGCCCUGGCAGUCAGAGGCGAUGAAGGGCGUGCUAAUCUGCGAUAAGCGCCGGUAAGGUGAUAUGAACCGUUAUAACCGGCGAUACCCGAAUGGGGAAACCCAGUGUGAUUCGUCACACUAUCAUUAACUGAAUCCAUAGGUUAAUGAGGCGAACCGGGGGAACUGAAACAUCUAAGUACCCCGAGGAAAAGAAAUCAACCGAGAUUCCCCCAGUAGCGGCGAGCGAACGGGGAGGAGCCCAGAGCCUGAAUCAGCAUGUGUGUUAGUGGAAGCGUCUGGAAAGGCGCGCGAUACAGGGUGACAGCCCCGUACACAAAAGCGCAUGUGCUGUGAGCUCGAUGAGUAGGGCGGGACACGUGGUAUCCUGUCUGAAUAUGGGGGGACCAUCCUCCAAGGCUAAAUACUCCUGACUGACCGAUAGUGAACCAGUACCGUGAGGGAAAGGCGAAAAGAACCCCGGCGAGGGGAGUGAAAAAGAACCUGAAACCGUGUACGUACAAGCAGUGGGAGCACCCUUUGGGUGUGACUGCGUACCUUUUGUAUAAUGGGUCAGCGACUUAUAUUCUGUAGCAAGGUUAACCGAAUAGGGGAGCCGGAGGGAAACCGAGUCUUAAC
rnacentral:rRNA from 3 species